AGUUUGAUCAUGGCUCAGAUUGAACACAGCCGGGAUAACACACAUGCAAGUCGAACGGCAGCACGGACUUCGGUCUGGUGGCGAGUGGCGAACGGUGAGUAAUGUAUCGGAACGUGCCUGGUAGCGGGGAUAACUACGCGAAAGCGUAGCUAAUACCGCAUACGCCCUUCGGGAAAGGCAGGGGACCUUCGGGCCUCGCACUAUUAAAACAGCCGAUAUCGGAUUGGCUAGUUGGUGGGUAACGGCUCGCAAGGCGACGAUCCGUAGCUGGUUUGGGAAGACUGGCGACCAGCCACACUGGGACUGAGACACGGCCCAGACUCCUACGGGAGGCAACGGUGAAAUUUUGGACAAUGGGAAACCCUGAUCCGUAUCCCGCGUGUGCGAUGAAGGCCUUCGGGUUGUAAAGCACUUUUGGCAGGAAAAACGGCACGGGAUAAUACCCCGUGCAACUGACGGUACCUGCAAGAAGUGCAGCACCGGCUAACUACGUGCCAGCAGCCGCGGUAAUACGUAGGGUGCAAGCGUUAAUCAGGUACUGGGCGUAAAGCGUGCGCAGGCGGUUCCGGAAAGAAAGAUGUGAAAUCCAGAGCUUAACUUUGGAACUGCAUUUUUAACUACCGAGCUAGAGUGUGUCAGAGAGGAGGAGUGGAAUUCCGCGUGUAGCAGUGAAAUGCGUAGAUAUGCGGAGGAACACCGAUAGCGAAGGCGGCCUCCUGGGAUAACACUGACGCUCAUGCACGAAAGCGUGGGAGCAAACUGAGAUUGGCAUGCCUGGUAGUCCACGCCCUAAACGAUGUCAACUGGCUAUUUGGAGCCUUCAGGCCUUGGUAGCGCAGCUAACGCGUGAAGUUGACCGCCUGGGAGUAUGGUCCGCAAGAUUAAAAUAAAGGAAUUGACGGGGACCCGCACCCAAGCGGUGGAUGAUGUGGAUUAAUUCCGAUGCAACGCGAAAAACCUUACCUACCCUUGACAUGUCUGGAAUCCCGAAGAGAUUUGGAGUGCUCGCAAGAGAACGGAACACAGGUGCUGCCGGCGUCGUCCAGCUCGUGUCGUGAGAUGUUGGUGGUUAAGUCCAUAACGAGCGCAACCCUUGUCAUUAGUUGCGCUACGAAAGAGCCUCUAAUGAGACUGCCGGUGACAAACCGGAGGAAGGUGGGGAUGACGUCAGUCCUCAUGGCCCUUAUGGGUAGGGCUUCCUGCAUCAUACAAUGGCAAUUUUGCGGGACGAGAGAGGUCGCCCAGCCCGCGAGGAGCCAAUCCGGCCGAUCGUAGUCCGGAUCGCAGUCUGCAACUCGACUGCGUGAAGUCGGAAUCGCUAGUAAUCGCGGAUCAGCAUGUCGCGGUGAAUACGUUCCCGGGUCUUGUACACACGCCACACACGUCACACCAUGGGAGUGGGUUUUACCAGAAGUAGUUAGCCUAACCGUAAGGAGGGCGAUUACCACAGUAGGAUUCAUGACUGGGGUGAAGUCAUGCUAAAGGUAG
rnacentral:rRNA from 1 species